GAUGAACGCUGGCGGCGUGCCUAAUACAUGCAAGUCGAGCGAACAGAUAAGGAGCUUGCUCCUUUGACGUUAGCGGCGGACGGGUGAGUAACACGUGGAUAACCUACCUAUAAGACUGGGAUAACUUCGGGAAACCGGAGCUAAUACCGGAUAACAUAUUGAACCGCAUGGUUCAAUAGUGAAAGGCGGCUUUGCUGUCACUUAUAGAUGGAUCCGCGCCGUAUUAGCUAGUUGGUAAGGUAACGGCUUACCAAGGCAACGAUACGUAGCCGACCUGAGAGGGUGAUCGGCCACACUGGAACUGAGACACGGUCCAGACUCCUACGGGAGGCAGCAGUAGGGAAUCUUCCGCAAUGGGCGAAGGCCUGACGGGGCAACGCCGCGUGAGUGAUGAAGGUCUUCGGAUCGUAAAACUCUGUUAUCAGGGAAGAACAAAUGUGUAAGUAACUGUGCACAUCUUGACGGUACCUGAUCAGAAAGCCACGGCUAACUACGUG
rnacentral:rRNA from 1 species